rnacentral:rRNA from 1 species
UACGAAGGGGGCUAGCGUUGUUCGGAAUUACUGGGCGUAAAGGGCGCGUAGGCGGCCUCGGAAGUCAUGGGUGAAAGCUCCCGGCUCAACCGGGAAAGGGCCUGUGAAACCACGGGGCUGGAGUGCUGGAGAGGAAAGCGGAAUUCCCAGUGUAGCGGUGAAAUGCGUAGAUAUUGGGAGGAACACCAGUGGCGUAGGCGGCUUUCUGGACAGACACUGACGCUGAGGCGCGAAAGCCAGGGGAGCGAACGGG